rnacentral:pre_miRNA from 1 species
AGGCAGUGUAAUGUUAGCUGGCUGCAAUGUAGGAAUCAGCAGCUACAAGCACUACCACA